rnacentral:rRNA from 1 species
CCUACGGGAGGCAGCAGUGGGGAAUCUUGCGCAAUGGGCGAAAGCCUGACGCAGCCAUGCCGCGUGAAUGAUGAAGGUCUUAGGAUUGUAAAAUUCUUUCACCGGGGACGAUAAUGACGGUACCCGGAGAAGAAGCCCCGGCUAACUUCGUGCCAGCAGCCGCGGUAAUACGAAGGGGGCUAGCGUUGCUCGGAAUUACUGGGCGUAAAGGGAGCGUAGGCGGACAUUUAAGUCAGGGGUGAAAUCCCGGGGCUCAACCUCGGAAUUGCCUUUGAUACUGGGUGUCUUGAGUAUGAGAGAGGUGUGUGGAACUCCGAGUGUAGAGGUGAAAAUUCGUAGAUAUUCGGAAGAACACCAGUGGCGAAAGGCGACACACUGGCUCAUUACUGACGCUGAGGCUCGAAAAGCGUGGGGAGCAAAACAGGAUUAGAUACCCUGGUAGUCCACGCCGUAAAACGAUAGAUGUCUAGUUGUCGGGAGUGCAUGCAUUUCGGUUGGUACGGCGAGACUAAACCGACAAUUAAAGACAAAUACCGCCCGUCGGGGAGGGUACGGGUACGGCGAAAGAAAGUUAAAAACUUAAACUAAAAUAAGUUAAAGUUAGUAGGACGUUGAGAGNGCCGAACGGACGACGACGAGGGAGGAGGAG